CACUCCUGCGGGAGACAGCAGUGGGGAAUUUUGGACAAUGGGCGAAAGCCUGAUCCAGCAAUGCCGCGUGAGUGAAGAAGGCCUUCGGGUUGUAAAGCUCUUUUGUCAGGGAAGAAACGGUGAAAGCUAAUAUCUUUUGCUAAUGACGGUACCUGAAGAAUAAGCACCGGCUAACUACGUGCCAGCAGCCGCGGUAAUACGUAGGGUGCAAGCGUUAAUCGGAAUUACUGGGCGUAAAGCGUGCGCAGGCGGUUUUGUAAGUCUGAUGUGAAAUCCCCGGGCUCAACCUGGGAAUUGCAUUGGAGACUGCAAGGCUAGAAUCUGGCAGAGGGGGGUAGAAUUCCACGUGUAGCAGUGAAAUGCGUAGAUAUGUGGAGGAACACCGAUGGCGAAGGCAGCCCCCUGGGUCAAGAUUGACGCUCAUGCACGAAAGCGUGGGGAGCAAACAGGAUUAGAAACCCCGGUAGUCCCAUG
rnacentral:rRNA from 1 species